GAGCUUGCUUCAGAGCACAUAUACUAAAGUUGGGAUGAUAUAGAGAAGAUUAGCAUGCCUCUACACAAGGAUGACAAAUUCACAAAGCAUUCCAUAUUUUU
rnacentral:snRNA from 1 species